GGCCUUCCCACAGUGGGAUAUGGCCAUCUCUGCAAGACCAAGGGAUGCAAUGAGGUCAAGUUCCCGCUGAGCAAGGGAACCGCAGCAACCUUGUUGAAGAAAGAUCUCAGGAGUUUCCAACAAGCUAUCACCCUGUCAACUAAGACAGCUGUGAAACUCAAUGCAAACCAGUACGGCGCCCUCGUAUCGUGGGCAUACAACGUUGGGCCCAAUGCUGCCCGGUCCUCCAGCUUGAUUAGCAGGCUCAACCAGGGUGAAGAUCCUAACAAAGUAAUUGCUCAAGAGCUGCCCAAGUGGAGAUUGGCUGGUGGUAAAGUCUUCAAGGGACUUGUUCGAAGGCGCAAGGCGGAGGUUAAAUUGGCCAAAACUCCAACCA
rnacentral:sRNA from 1 species